CCUGCAUGUCUAAGUAUAAGCAAUUAUACAGCGAAACUGCGAAUGGCUCAUUAUAUAAGUUAUCGUUUAUUUGAUAGUACCUUACUACUUGGAUAACCGUGGUAAUUCUAGAGCUAAUACAUGCUAAAAAUCCCGACUCCGGAAGGGAUGUAUUUAUUAGAUUAAAAACCAAUGCCCUCUGGGCUCCUUGGUGAUUCAUAAUAACUUUUCGAAUCGCAUGGCCUUGCGCCGGCGAUGGUUCAUUCAAAUUUCUUCCCUAUCAACUUUCGAUGUUUGGGUAUUGGCCAAACAUGGUCGCAACGGGUAACGGAGGGUUAGGGCUCGACCCCGGAGAAGGAGCCUGAGAAACGGCUACUACAUCCAAGGAAGGCAGCAGGCGCGCAAAUUACCCAAUCCCGAUUCGGGGAGGUAGUGACAAUAAAUACUGAUACAGGGCUCUUUUGGGUCUUGUAAUUGGAAUGAGUACAAUUUAAAUCCCUUAACGAGGAACAAUUGGAGGGCAAGUCUGGUGCCAGCAGCCGCGGUAAUUCCAGCUCCAAUAGCGUAUAUUAAAGUUGUUGUGGUUAAAAAGCUCGUAGUUGAACCUUGGGCCUGGCUGGCCGGUCCGCCUCACCGCGUGCACUGGUCCGGCCGGGCCUUUCCCUCUGUGGAACCCCAUGCCCUUCACUGGGUGUGGCGGGGAAACAGGACUUUUACUUUGAAAAAAUUAGAGUGCUCCAGGCAGGCCUAUGCUCGAAUACAUUAGCAUGGAAUAAUGAAAUAGGACGUGUGGUUCUAUUUUGUUGGUUUCUAGGACCGCCGUAAUGAUUAAUAGGGACAGUCGGGGGCAUCAGUAUUCAAUUGUCAGAGGUGAAAUUCUUGGAUUUAUUGAAGACUAACUACUGCGAAAGCAUUUGCCAAGGAUGUUUUCAUUAAUCAGGAACGAAAGUUAGGGGAUCGAAGACGAUCAGAUACCGUCGUAGUCUUAACCAUAAACUAUGCCGACUAGGGAUCGGACGAUGUUAUUUUUUGACGCGUUCGGCACCUUACGAGAAAUCAAAGUGCUUGGGCUCCAGGGGGAAUAUGGUCGCAAGGUGAAUAG
rnacentral:rRNA from 1 species